UCCUACAAUGAAGAAGAGUGAGGCGUACCGGCGAUAGAUCACUUUGAAACCACGGUAUUCGAGGAAAGAACAUUGAAGUUCCGAACGCGAAAGGCAUUUGCGGAUAAUUUC
rnacentral:rRNA from 16 species